AGGGUGCAAGCGUUAAUCGGAAUUACUGGGCGUAAAGCGAGUGUAGGUGGCUCAUUAAGUCACAUGUGAAAUCCCCGGGCUUAACCUGGGAACUGCAUGUGAUACUGGUGGUGCUAGAAUAUGUGAGAGGGAAGUAGAAUUCCAGGUGUAGCGGUGAAAUGCGUAGAGAUCUGGAGGAAUACCGAUGGCGAAGGCAGCUUCCUGGCAUAAUAUUGACACUGAGAUUCGAAAGCGUGGGUAGCAAACAGGAUUAGAUACCCUGGUAGUCCACGCCCUAAACGAUGCGAACUGGAUGUUGGGUUCAACUUGGAACCCAGUAUCGAAGCUAACGCGUUAAGUUCGCCGCCUGGGGAGUACGGUCGCAAGACUGAAACUCAAAGGAAUUGACGGGGGCCCGCACAAGCGGUGGAGUAUGUGGUUUAAUUCGAUGCAACGCGAAGAACCUUACCUGGUCUUGACAUCCACGGAACUUUCCAGAGAUGGAUUGGUGCCUUCGGGAACCGUGAGACAGGUGCUGCAUGGCUGUCGUCAGAUCGUGUCGUGAGAUGUUGGGUUAAGUCCCGCAACGAGCGCAACCCCUACCUUUAGUUGCUAGCAUUGAGUUGAGCACUCUAGAGGGACUGCCUAUGAAAGUAGGAGGAAGGCGGGGAUGACGUCUAGUCAGCAUGGUCUUGACAUCCAAG
rnacentral:rRNA from 1 species